rnacentral:lncRNA from 1 species
UUGAUUCACAGAUGCUGGAGAGAAAGCUUUAUCUUACUCAAUUCUGUAAUGUUUCUGUUGCUGUGGUUUUUCAGGAGAAAGAGAAGAGAUCCUGUAGCUGAAGACCCCAAAACAAAAGAGGAAAGCAUCUACAACAAUGUUGCAGCCAAUCAAGAUGAUGGUCUUUAUGCCACAGUUGAACCCCCCAGACCAAUGAAUCCUAGGACCGAAAAACGCUCAGCAGUUUCCCAUGAGGAGGUUCAGUAUGGUAACAUCCAGCACUGCCAUCGUCAAGAUAUAAAGAUGACAGAAGAAGAUGAUGUCCAAUAUGCUAGUGUCAACUUUUCCCGUACUUCUCAAGACCACAGAAAUGCACCUGAGGAUUCCUCUGUGAUCUACAGUGGGGUAAAAUAAUCACCUAAAUUACUGUUCAUAAAUUACCUUGGUUAUAAUUGUUUGAGAAUUGGGGCUGUUUCUUUUAAUAAGCUUUUUAAAUAGGUGUAUCCACCCGCAUUUAAACAGUAUUAAUUAUAAAUACAUGAAAAGGGCCUACUAAUGGUGACAUUGGGAACUGCUAAUGUGGGCAAACAUGGGAGGUGGUACAGAAGCAACUAUAAAGACUUUCCUUUUUUUAAAUGCUAUUUCUUCUCUAAUGUUUUUUUUUUUACAUUUUAGAUUUUGGAGAACAUGAGCUCAUUACUAUAAACAGUUAUUAGUGUGUUUUGUGCCGUAUUUUGUUGUAAUGUAAAAUAUAACUGAUGAUUUUCAACUGUUGAGAUUUCUUAAAUAUAUCAAUA